AUUGAACGCUGGCGGCAGGCCUAACACAUGCAAGUCGAACGGCAGCACAGUACUUGCUUGUUGUUACGGGGGGCGAGGGGCGGACGGUGCCUGGAUACCUGGCUGUCUGCGUUUGAUUGCGUGCGAACGCAGGCGAACUUACGCUAAUACUGCAUAGGACGUACGGGUGAGAUCUUGGGACCUUCGGCCCUCGCACGAUUCAAGGACGCGAUGUCGGAUUAGCUGGUUGGUGGGGUAAAGGCACACCAAGGCGACGAUCCUUAGCUGGUCUGAGCGGAUGAUCAGUCACACGGGAACUGAGACACGGUCCAGACUCCUACGGGAGGCAGCAGUGGGGAAUAGUGGACGAGGGGCGAAAGCCUGAUCCAGCCAUGCCGCGUGUGUGAAGAAGGUCGUCGGAUUGUAAAGCACUUUAAGUUGGGAGGAAGGGCAGUAAGUUAAUACCUUGCUGUUUUGACGUUACCAACAGAAUAAGCACCGGCUAACUUCGUG
rnacentral:rRNA from 1 species